rnacentral:tRNA from 1 species
GACCGUGUAGCUCAGUGGUAGAGCACGCGCCUUUUAAGCGUGUGGUCGUGGGUUCGAAUCCCACCGCGGUCA